rnacentral:rRNA from 1 species
CCCUUAGAUGUUCUGGGCCGCACGCGCGCUACACUGACGAUGGCAAUGAGUUUUUCCUUCGCCGAAAGGUGUGGGUAAUCUUUUGAAACAUCGUCGUGCUGGGGAUAGAUCAUUGCAAUUUUUGAUCUUGAACGAGGAAUUCCUAGUAAGCGCGAGUCAUCAGCUCGCGUUGAUUACGUCCCUGCCCUUUGUACACACCGCCCGUCGCUACUACCGAUUGAAUGGUUUAGUGAGGACUCCUGAUUGGCGCCGCCGCCCCGGCAACGGAGCAGCGGACUGCCGAAAAGUUGUUCAAACUUGAUCAUUUAGAGGAAGUAAAAGUCGUAACA